rnacentral:lncRNA from 1 species
CGGAGCACGGUGGCGGAGACGCCGGAGAACAAGGCCUUGACUCCCUCCGUCCGGAAGAUCUUGACACCAACAGAGAUGGGUCCCGCACGCGGCGGAGCAGCCACCACAUGCGGCGGAGGAGCCAUGAUGGCGGCGGCGGAUCCGUGAUGGGAAUGGUAGGCGAAAGCGGGGCGGAGAGAGUGAAUGGGCUGCUGGGCCGGGGCGGGUAGGCCCUUUUCGCCCUGGA